rnacentral:misc_RNA from 1 species
AAGUCGUAACAAGGUUUCCGUAGGUGAACCUGCGGAAGGAUCAUUAACAGAAUGGCACAAUGUGUCUCAUCCUUGUGAUAUGUGUAAUUUAGUGUGUGUGUGCGUGCACAUGUGCGCACAUGCGUAUUUUUUUACUCUGUUUUUUAUUCUUAUACAUGUAAGUGUGUUGUUAUCAACCAACAACAUAUGAAAUCAAAACCGAAAACUGCCAGCAAUGGAUCACUCGGUUCUC